UACAGAGGUGCCAAGCGUUAGGCGGAAUCACUGGGCUUAAAGCGCGUGUAGGUGGGUCGUUAAGUGUCCGCGUGAAAUCCCACGGCUCAACCGUGGAACUGCCGGGCAUACUGGCGAUCUUGAGGCAUUCAGGGGCGAGCGGAACAAAUGGUGGAGCGGUGAAAUGCGUAGAUAUCAUUUGGAACGCCAACGGAGAAAUCAGGUAGCUGGGGUGUGCUGACGCUGAGACACGAAAGCCAGGGGAGCGAACGGG
rnacentral:rRNA from 1 species